AACACUUUCUGUGUUUAGAUGGAGAACCUUCAUCCGCUGUGUGGUGACCAGUCUGCACCUGAACAAGCGUUUUCUUCUCUUUCACACUCAAACAUCCAUCAAGAGUCCCCAGAGCGCUGGCAGACUCUUCCUGAAGCCGGCGAGGCAGUACUAUCACAUCUGAACCCAGAAGAGACAAACACAGAGUCUGGUGACGAUCAGACUCCAGCUCUACUGGGUCUUCUGCCAGAAACAUCUGCUGCUGCUCACAGGAAGCUGGGGGACACUUCUCAGACGUCUGCCGGCUCAUCUCAGCUCCAUCAAGGCUUUCAGCCAACAUUUGAAGAUCCCGGACCCUCGUUCUUCUCAUCUCCAGCUCACGUCAAUAACACCAGCCGUCCUCCAAACCGUCUUCAUGUCCCUCCACCAGUCCAUCAGCAGACCGCUUCUCCUUUAAAUAUCAAACCAGUAGCUCUUUUUACAGAUAUUAACCCUUCUUUUCACAUACCUCGUGUCUAUCCUCACAUGAUGCCUCAUUUUAACCCUUCGUGGCCAGUUUUGGUGCCUCAUAUUGUCAGUAAUGCUUCAGUGGCUCGUCCCGGUCCCUUCUGCGCCGUCUUCACUCCUCAGCCGUGUAGAGCAAGCCUCACGGCUCUGGUGGCCUGUGAAGACCCCUGCUGCUCCUCUCGAGUGUUUGGAGCACGUCUGAAGGUUUACUCUGCUCCCGCUCCACACCUGCAGACGAUCCGGACGGAUGGAGAGGUUCAGGAGCGCUUCAGACGCUGGCAGAGACUCCGGGAGACCACCAGACUCUUCUGCUCCAGGAGAUCAGACGCAGACGCUCUGGCCUGCUUCUUCACACGUGUGCUUCCCUCUCUCUCCGCUCUCCGUCCAGAUCUGUCGUUCUCUGCCGCCGUGAACACAGCCCUGCAGGACUGGAACAACAUCUCCGUCUCUGAACGCCAGACACACUACAACACUGCCAGGACGUUCACCGAGAUGGAAAAACAGGACAAGAGCGCCAACAGAGAUCCAACAGCUCCUCAAACAGACAAACACAGAGGUCAGCAUUAUUUGAACGGGUCAAGAUUAACUUUUGCUCCUAGGCGUCAUAUUUGA
rnacentral:lncRNA from 1 species